rnacentral:rRNA from 1 species
UACGAGUGCCUCAAGCGUUAUCCGGAAUCAUUGGGCGUAAAGGGUGUGUAGGCGGCUUUGUUAGUCUCGCGUUAAAUUUCUUGGCUCAACCGAGAAGCUGCGUGGGAAACGGCAAGGCUAGAGGAUGGAAGGGGUCUCUGGAACUCAUGGUGUAGCGGUGAAAUGCGUUGAUAUCAUGGGGAACACCGAAAGCGAAGGCAAGAGACUGGUCCACUCCUGACGCUGAAACACGAAAGCGUGGGUCGCGAAUGGG